rnacentral:misc_RNA from 1 species
UCCGGUUUGUCACCGGCAGUCUCCCAUGAGUCCCCAACUAAAUGCUGGCAACAUAGGACAGGGGUUGCGCUCGUUGCGGGACUUAACCCAACACCCCACGGCACGAGCUGACGACAGCCAUGCACCACCUGUGAAGGUGCCCCGAAGGGAGACCGUGUUUCCACGGCUGUCACCUACAUGUCAAGCCCAGGUAAGGUUCUUCGCGUUGCGUCGAAUUGAACCACAUGCUCCGCUGCUUGUGCGGGUCCCCGUCAAUUCCUUUGAGUUUUAGCCUUGCGGCCGUACUCCCCAGGCGGGACACUUAAUGCGUUAGCUACGGCACGGAAUGGCUUGAAGACCACCCCACACCUAGCACCCAACGUUUACGGCUGGGACUAC